GGGGAUUUAGCUCAGUGGUAGAGUGCUUGCCUAGCAAGCACAAGGCCCUCAGUUCAGUCCCCA
rfam:Rattus norvegicus chromosome 14, whole genome shotgun sequence.